CUUGGGGCGGGAAGUGUGUUUCGACGGCUAACAGCUGCGAGAGGUGAACAGAGAAAGAGAGACGACUUCCCCCGGACAGAACAAACGACUCCCUGAAGCAGGUUGGGACGGCUCGGACGCUUUGUCCUCUUCCAAGGUUGACUGAUUUCUUUUGGUGUUCAGAGUCUGCUUCCGUUUCUAGCACCAUUUGAAAUCGGUUACAGUGAUGGACAGUUCUCGUCGUACCUGCGUCCAGGGUGUGGCUUUUGUUUUACCGAUUCUGGAUUAGCUUUUUAGCUUCAAUUUAACACCAAACCAGGAUCUGUCCGAGCCUUCUGGAUCCAGAUUCACACACCUAAAUAAAGAUGUCACCUCUUCCUUCUUCUCAUUUUGUAAAAAUGCAGAAGUAUUACAGUCAGUGUUUUUUUUUUUUUUUUGCAGCGUUUCCAUUGGAGUGCAGCAAAGCCGUUAUUAAGAUGCAUUAAAUGAAAAAGGUAAGCGCCUUUAAAUGCACACGGUACUGCACUUGGGUUUUUAUCUAUUACCUCUGGGUGAUGGUCUAUAAACCUGUCUAAAGCUGCGUCCGAAUUGCCAAGUAGUAGUCGAAGUAGAAGUCGAAGUAGUAUCUAGCAUGUCCGAAUUGGCCACCGGAGCGAGUAGCAUGCUACUUCAGAUACUACUUCAGAUACUAGACACGCCCACAUUGUAGGUUGGUCUCGGUGCAUCCUACGGGCAUGCUACUGACCCAAAAUGCACCACGGGCUUCUUCUUCGUCCUCUUAAAAGUUGUAGAAGCGCAUGUGAUGCUAGCGC